CGGUGGAUCACUCGGCUCGUGUGUCGAUGAAGAGCGCAGCCAACUGUGUGAAUUAAUGUGAAUCGCAGACUGCUUUGAACAUCGACAUCUUGAACGCACAUUGCGGCCAUGGGCUUGCCUGUGGCCACGUCUGUCCGAGGGUCGGCUUAUAAACUAUCACUGUGCAUAAUAAGC
rnacentral:rRNA from 1 species